rnacentral:rRNA from 1 species
UAGGGAAUAUUAGAAAUGGACGAAAGUCUGUUCUAGCAACACCGCGUGUGCGAAGAAGGCCUUCGGGUCGUAAAGCACUUUUUGGAAGGAAUAGGAAGGAAGGUACUUCCAGAAUAAGUCUCGGCUAACUACGUGCCAGCAGCCGCGGUAACACGUAGGAGGCAAACGUUAUCCGGAUUUACUGGGCGUAAAGCGCGUGUAGGUGGUUCUGUAAGUAGGGCGUGAAAGCUCCCGGCUCAACUGGGAGAGGCCGUUCUAAACUGCAGAGCUAGAGGAUGGUAGAGGGAGGUGGAAUUCCAGGUGUAGCGGUGGAAUGCGCAGAUAUCUGGAGGAACACCAGUGGCGAAAGCGGCCUCCUGGACCAUUCCUGACACUCAGACGCGAAAGCUAGGGUAGCAAACG